rnacentral:rRNA from 1 species
AUUGAACGCUGGCGGCAGGCCUAACACAUGCAAGUCGAACGGUAGCACAGAGAGCUUGCUCUCGGGUGACGAGUGGCGGACGGGUGAGUAAUGUCUGGGAAACUGCCCGAUGGAGGGGGAUAACUACUGGAAACGGUAGCUAAUACCGCAUAACGUCGCAAGACCAAAGUGGGGGACCUUCGGGCCUCACACCAUCGGAUGUGCCCAGAUGGGAUUAGCUAGUAGGUGGGGUAAUGGCUCACCUAGGCGACGAUCCCUAGCUGGUCUGAGAGGAUGACGAGCCACACUGGAACUGGGACACGGUCCAGACUCCUACGGGAGGCAGCAGUGGGGAAUAUUGCACAAUGGGCGCAAGCCUGAUGCAGCCAUGCCGCGUGUAUGAAGAAGGCCUUCGGGUUGUAAAGUACUUUCAGCGGGGAGGAAGGCGGUGAAGUUAAUAACUUCACCGAUUGACGUUACCCGCAGAAGAAGCACCGGCUAACUCCGUGCCAGCAGCCGCCGUAA